GGGGAAUAUUGGGCAAUGGGCGAAAGCCUGACCCAGCAACGCCGCGUGAAGGAAGAAGGCCCUCGGGUUGUAAACUUCUUUUAUCAGGGACGAAACAAAUGACGGUACCUGAUGAAUAAGCCACGGCUAACUACGUGCCAGCAGCCGCGGUAAUACGUAGGUGGCAAGCGUUAUCCGGAUUUACUGGGUGUAAAGGGCGUGUAGGCGGGCCUGCAAGUCAGGUGUGAAAUUCCAGGGCUCAACCCUGGAACUGCACUUGAAACUGUGGGUCUUGAGUGAUGGAGAGGCAGGCGGAAUUCCGUGUGUAGCGGUGAAAUGCGUAGAUAUACGGAGGAACACCAGUGGCGAAGGCGGCCUGCUGGACAUUAACUGACGCUGAGGCGCGAAAGCGUGGGGAGCAAAC
rnacentral:rRNA from 1 species